rnacentral:lncRNA from 1 species
GAAGUACCAACUGGUAGACUGGCUGGGGGAUUUGGAGACUGCACUCCUGCAAGGAAUUGCACCGAGGAGCUCAUGUGCUGCCUCCCUAGCACAACCAUCCCCAAGUACGUCCUGCUGUGAGACAAAGACGAGGUGUGUACUAUGCUUUUUUUUAUUGGCUACAAGGACAAAUUUAAGAUCUAGAACUAAAGGAUUAUAAGGUUGAAUAGGAUGAGGAACAGAAACAAUGGGUAGCAAUUUGUUUGGGGAUUGUGCCAACCUCUAGGAUCCCCUUCUCUGCCAUGGAUUUGGAUGCUUGUAGAUUUGUAUCGGGGC